rnacentral:rRNA from 1 species
GACGAACGCUGGCGGCGUGCUUAACACAUGCAAGUCGAACGAUGAAGCUAGAGCUUGCUCUGGUGAAUUAGUGGCGAACGGGUGAGUAACACGUGAGUAACCUGCCCCGAACUCUGGGAUAACUGCUGGAAACGGUAGCUAAUACUGGAUACGACCUACGAAGGCAUCUUCUGUAGGUGGAAAGAAUUUCGGUUCGGGAUGGACUCGCGGCCUAUCAGCUUGUUGGUGAGGUAAUGGCUCACCAAGGCGACGACGGGUAGCCGGCCGGGGAGGGUGACCGGCCACCCUGGGACUGAGACACGGCCCAGACUCCUACGGGAGGCAGCAGUGGGGAAUUUUGGACAAUGGGGGCAACCCUGAUCCAGCAAUGCCGCGUGAGUGAAGAAGGCCUUCGGGUUGUAAAGCUCUUUUGUCAGGGAAGAAACAGCAGCUCUAACACAGUUUGCGAAUGACGGUACCUGAAGAAUAAGCACCGGCUAAC